rfam:Ciona savignyi cont_24921, whole genome shotgun sequence.
GCCUCGAUAGUUCAGUCGGGAGAGCGUUAGACUGAAGAUCUAAAGGUCCUUGGUUCAAUCCCGGGUCGAGGCA